CACCAAUAAUUGAUCAUUCUUCUAAUCCUUCCUGUAUUCAAGCUGGCACCGCCACUACUGUCUCCUUCUUCUUCUUCUUCUUCAGAAAAAAUUUCUAAAACCCUAAUCUCGAUUCAGUAAUCGAGCUCUGUAAAUAGCUAUAAUAGUUUUGAAUAUAUGGUUUGGAAUCUUAUAAUAAUCGAAAGAUCUACUCUUUUCUCCGCAUUGUUUUAGUUUCUUUACCAAAAAAAAUUAAGGGGAAAUGGCUUUGUUACCUCUUCUAUGGUUCUUACUCGCUUCGUUAAUCAGCUGUACGAAUUCUCGACAGCUGAAGAAGGAAGAGACGAUAUAUGAGGUGUUGAAGGCUCAUGGGCUUCCGAUGGGGUUGUUGCCUAAAGGUGUGAGGGAAUUUGAUAUUGAUGAGAAUGGUCGAUUCCAAGCUUACUUGGAUCAAGCUUGUAAUGCUAAAUUCGAGAGUGAAUUACAUUACGAUAGGAAUGUUUCGGGGACUCUGAGUUAUGGUCAGAUCGGGGGUUUGUCUGGAAUUUCGGCACAAGAGCUUUUUCUUUGGUUUCCGGUGAAGGGUAUUCGUGUAGAUGUACCUAGCUCCGGUCUUAUUUAUUUUGAUGUUGGUGUUGUCUUUAAACAAUUCUCUUUGUCACUUUUCGAGACUCCACCGGAUUGUGUGGCGGUUCGAACUGAGGAGGAGCAGAGUAAUAGCAAUGCUCCUGUAGCUGAGACUGUAUUCAAGAGUAAUUUCGGGAAACUUCGAUAUCAACUUGAGCAGGAAAUUUUGGGAAGAGAUGAUAUGUAGUAUCAGUGAUAAAAAGGAAGAGAGAAAGAGAGAAAAAAUAAAAUAAAAAAAAAGGUACUUUUUGUUAUAAGUUGGCCUGUAGCUCAAUCAGCAUAUGGGUUUUCUACUCAACCUUGUAAAUUUUUCAGUCAGAUAUGGGGUCUACUCAACAGACUUUCAGUGUGUUUGCGUUUUCUUUUUUCUUUUUUCUUUUUUUGUUCCAUAUAGCUGCAGAGUUCACAAACUAUAGUCUUUUCCAGCUCAUGUCGAGGUUGACUAUUGAGGGGAGGGUGGUCAACGAAUAAUUCAUUGGAGAGGAAAUUGGAUUAGUGGCGGCGAUUGUUUCUUACAUACAUAAGAAGAUUCAAGUGAAACAGGAUCAUUCUCUUUCGGGUUGGUGUCCAGGCGAAUUCAGGUGUAAACCUUGAAGAACUCUAUUUCCAUUGUCAGAGAAGUGAUGCUUAGGAGUCUAAAAUUCUGCAAAAGGGAUUUUUGAUCUAGAGGUCCUUUUCUCUAAGGCCAAAUUUUUUUGUUUCCUUUCUUCUUUCCUAAUCCAUUACAAUUAUUAUUUUUUACAUUAUUAACUUUUGGUUUGGCUAGGUAGAAGCUCUAACACUCCCAUUUGCGUAUCCUAACUGGUUAGUGAUCACAUGCUUGAUUUUCUUGUUUAGGUAUUCUUUUCAAAACUUCUUUAGGUCCUUUUUUUUCCCUUUCUUUCUCUAAAUGGUCUCUCUUUUUUGCACUUUUCUCUUGUGUGGGUCUUUUCCACUCUGCUAAUACAGCUGACUGAUAAGUGACAUGUUACCUAAUUCAUUGAUGCUUGAAAUGUGUAUCCCUUUGAUUUGGGGCUAAUGACAUAUAUAAGAAAGGGACUUAAAAAUAAAUAAUACAAAAGAGUGAGAAAGAAAGAAACAAGUGGUGGUAGAUAUGCCAAUGUUUCAGGUUGGGAGUAUGCUAACUCUCCUUGGGAGUGCUUAAGGUUGAGGGUGAAGUAUGAGAGCACUGGAUCAGACCGUCUAUGCCGACCGGAGAGAUACCCUUUAACAUCAUUCUGACAGGUAUUUGGUUGCUUUAAAACCCCGUGAGAGACAGCUUGAACUGGCAAAAUUUGUUUGAUUUUGCAAAUGUAAGCUCAUACACAAUAUAUCAUAAUGCAAGCUGGAUUGUUUUUGUCCUGUUAGCCAAGCCAACCUCAUCAGUCAUUGCUAUUAAACCCCAUAUUCCACAGACUGAUCAUUCAAUUAGUUCCUUCUCACUCUCUCCUGUUUUUCUUGUCUUCAACUAACCAUGAACACAUACUAAACUAAUCAUUGGUUUAUUCAUAAUUAACAUUGUUUUUUGUAGCCUAGUGUUAAGCUAACCUUACUUUCUCGUUUAUUCAGGAAAAGUUUUUUUUCUUUCUCUCAGGUUCACAUUGCAGCCGUUUCAUUAAUAUAAGAUUAGUACUAGUUUAUGGGAAGUUUUUUGAGUGCUUAUAUCUCUUUGAUGGUUUUAAGUUUUGGUGGUAUAUAUGUUGUAUUAUUUCAUGGAAUGAUAUGUAUGACUAUGUAAGAGAAGGGUCAGGUUUGUCCUUACAUAUGAGAAUAAAUAAAAUAUGUAAUAAUAAUUAUAACCAGGAACUA